rnacentral:lncRNA from 1 species
UUGAAACUAUCAUAACAAAUGCAAUACAUAUCACAAUGAAACUGUCAUAACAAAUAUAACACAUAUAUCAAUGAUUCAGAUAUGUUGUUCAUCAAUAUAUCACGUUUAGGAUAAAAGUUAAAAGAAACAUUACACCAAGUCUUUAUUGGAACAUUCAUCAACCACUCCCCGUACCCUUGUAUCAAUAUUCUUCAGCUCAAACAUGUUUUCCUGUCAUGUUUGUUAAUAUGUGGCUUUGGUACCUCCAAUCAUUAAACCUAACCUUCCUUGCAUUAUCA